rnacentral:rRNA from 1 species
UACAGAGGGUGCAAACGUUGUUCGGAUUUACUGGGCGUAAAGCGCGUGUAGGCGGCUUGGCAAGUCGGAUGUGAAAGCCCACGGCUCAACCGUGGAAGCGCACCCGAAACGGCCUCGCUCGAGUCUCGGAGAGGAAGGUGGAAUGCUUGGUGUAGAGGUGAAAUUCGUAGAUAUCAAGCAGAACACCUGCGGCGAAGGCGGCCUUCUGGACGAUGACUGACGCUGAGACGCGAAAGCGUGGGGAGCAAACAGG